rnacentral:rRNA from 1 species
UACAUAGGGUGCAAGCGUUGUUCGGAAUUAUUGGGCGUAAAGCGCGUGUAGGCGGCUUUGCAAGUCGGGUGUGAAAGCCCUCGGCUCAACCGAGGAAGUGCGCCCGAAACUGCAGAGCUUGAGUACCGGAGAGGAUGGCGGAAUUCCCCAAGUAGAGGUGAAAUUCGUAGAUAUGGGGAGGAACACCGGUGGCGAAGGCGGCCAUCUGGACGGAUACUGACGCUGAGACGCGAAAGCGUGGGGAGCAAACAGG